rnacentral:piRNA from 1 species
UUCUUUCUGCAUUUAACCAUU